GGUUACUUGAGAAGUCAAUUUCUGAAAUGGGUCUAUGGAGCGGACGCGAUCGGAGAGCAACCGAUUGGGAGUAGCAGCAAAGAAGGGAAGCCAGGUGCCUAGAAACUUUGAAGAGUUUUGAGGCUCAGCAGGUACAUCCAACUUCAUGUUUUCAUAGAAAGACUAUACGCUUUUUGUUGAACCACUCUACAACAAAUGAUGAAUACAAUGGAGAGGAUUGUGGAGCGUCCCUUUGGUUAUAGCAGCACUUCACCUUUGAAGGCUAUAGAAGUCGAAGUACUUCAAGCAUGAAUCCAUAAUGAAAGGAAACAACAGGAUAGCAAGAGUUUUUUGGCCAGUUUUGGUGAAACUUUUGCAGGGGGUAGUAGAGAAAAAACUCCAUCUCUUGAAGCAUUCCACAAAAAGCAUAACCGUGGAGAUGAUCAGGAAGUGGGGUUCCUGGCGGCAUAGACAACCAUGUUCCUGCAAGAGCCUGUCAAAUAUGGAGAUGGAAAGAAGAAGGGGUAUGUGGGUAAGUGAUUCUGUUGCACUGGAUUGUGCUUCGCAUUGCAACUGGAUGUUCAUGUGAGAGAAUUGUUGAGGUGGGCUUAGUUGGAGUGAGAAGAUUGUUCUCUUAUAUGAACCCUUGCUGUCAAAUAUAAGCGUGACUCACUGUGUAUGGAGUUGCAACACCAAAAUAAAAUGUUGUUUUGGUAAUGGCUAAAAUAAAAUGUUGAUGGUAUAUUUCUAUUGCAUCACUACAUCUGAAACUAAUUGUGUAAAGUGUAGUAUUUCAAAAUGUGAGAUGCCACAAAAUAUUUUGUCUUUCAUGUAUGCAGAAAAAUAUAACAUUUUAUUUACGAAAAGUGUUCUGUUAUGAAUUAUGCAGCUGAAUCAAUGAAACCAAUCCCCCUCCCAUGUAAGCUGAAAUUUAUUAGAUAGAAAAUAUGUUAGUUUGAAAGAAAAUGUUAUUAAUUAUGAAGCUGAAUGAAUGCAGCCCCUCCCACUCCAUGUAAGCUGAAAUUUACUAGAUAAUAAAUAUUUUAAGUAUGAAAGGAAACCAACAAGCAGGUACCUAUGCUUAGUAAGAUUCAAUUAGGAUAGAAGUGUUCUCAUUGAAAAAGCUAUUUUAGUCGUUUAUUUAAAUAGAAGAAUAAUCGUACCAAGCUAAGCUAUCUUUUUGGCAUCUUUUUGUGUUAUUGGAGGUUUUUUCCAUUUCAAUGUUAUGGGGUUUCUGGUCCUUCUGUUUUGCUGCCAUCAGUUAUUAUAUAAGUAGCAGCUGAAAGAGUUGCUCAAUUGGUUUAUUCCAUGCUUUCUUCCAUAUUAUCACAAAGUUUGUCUAAACUUUACAUUGGAUUUUGUUAGUGGGGGGUGUAUAUUGUCAUGAAAGUGAAUCAUGUCAUGGUAAAUUUCCCUUCAAUUAGUUAGUGCGUCAUAAAUUGGUAAUAUGGGUUAACAAAUGCUUCAUAGUGAACUUAGGAGAAUUGUUCAGAUUCUUUGGUUCAGAACCUGUUGAGACUGGGUAACAGUGAUGUUGAUGUAUUAAUAUUUAAUACUUGGAAGAAGAAAUGCACCCCUGUUGUGUAGCCUCCAAUGAACCAAAAUAGACAUUGCCUUUGUGGUCGAACUCUUUUAUGAAGGGGAAAAAAAAAUUCAGAGAAGCUUUAACAUGAUUUUUGUAUGUAGGUUUGUUUCUUUUUUCCUUCCUUCCUUUCAUCACGGAUAUUUUAGUUUUCAUGAGUGUUGUUAGAAGGAUGUUUCUACUGUAGUGUUUUUAAAAUUCUUUUCACUUUUAUAUUUGUUUUAGUUUUUGAAUUUGUUUUUUAUCAAAUGUACACAAGUUUUGUGUUGUUCCUGUCUCUGAUGAUUGAUAGACUGCACCAUUACAUAAGAGAGCUUCGUUUACUCAGGAAGGCCAUGGAAGCGGUUAAGAAACCAAGUAAAAGUUUUGAGGAUGAUAAAAAUGGCAAUGCUGAGAAGCAUAAAGCACUAACAGAAGAAAUUGCCACAUUGAAGUCUAACGUUAAGAAACUGGAAUCUCAAUGUGAGGUGAAAGGAAAUAACUAAUAAGGCUGGCUUUGGAAUCUGAAGUAGAGGCUAUUAAUGUUGAGAAAAUUUUCAAUUUAUU